rnacentral:misc_RNA from 1 species
GAACUGCGAUACGUAAUGUGAAUUGCAGAAUUCCGUGAAUCAUCAAAUCUUUGAACGCAUAUUGCGCUCAGGAUUAACCCUGAGCAUACCUGUUUGAGUGUCAGUAAUACCAUCUCAAACUCGAAUUCUUUUGAAUUUCUGUUUGGACUUGAGCCUUUUUAACUUAAUUUUCAGUUGAGUGGCUUUAAAAAUAUAGAAAGGAAAGCUGACGCUUUUACCUGCGAUUUGAUAGAUGAAAAAAAAAUUCAUUUUUCGUUUGUAAUCUAUCAGGUUUGAGCAUAAUGGCUUUUUUUCUUUCAAUUUUGGUCUUAUAAGAUGAAUACAUUUUUUUGUUGCCAUCUCGAAACUUUGACCUCAAAUCAGGUAAGAUUACCCGCUGAACUUAA